UGGGGAAUCUUGCGCAAUGGGCGAAAGCCUGACGCAGCAACGCCGCGUGCGGGAAGAAGGUCUUAGGGUUGUAAACCGCUUUCAGCAGGGACGAAGGCGUCCGGGUUAAUAGCCCGUACGUUGACGGUACCUGCAGAAGAAGGUCCGGCUAACUACGUGCCAGCAGCCGCGGUAAUACGUAGGGACCAAGCGUUGUCCGGAAUCAUUGGGCGUAAAGAGCGUGUAGGCGGCUUGUUAAGUCUUGCGUGAAAUCUCGGGGCUCAACCCCGAGCGGUCGUGAGAAACUGGCAGGCUAGAGUGCGGGAGAGGAGAGUGGAAUUCCUGGUGUAGCGGUGAAAUGCGCAGAUAUCAGGAAGAACACCCGUGGCGAAGGCGGCUCUCUGGAACGCAACUGACGCUGAGACGCGAAAGCGUGGGGAGCAAACAGGAUUAGAUACCCCCGUAGUCC
rnacentral:rRNA from 1 species